AAUCAACGCUGGCGGCGUGCCUCAGACAUGCAAGUCGAACGCGAAAGUUCCCUUCGGGGGACGAGUAGAGUGGCGCACGGGUGAGUAACACGUAGGUAAUCUACCUUUGGAUGGGGAAUAACAACCGGAAACGGUUGCUAAUACCGCAUAAUGCAGCGGCACCUAAUGGUGACAGUUGUUAAAGCGGGGGAUCGAAAGACCUCGCGUCUGAAGAGGAGCCUGCGGCGGAUUAGCUAGUUGGUAAGGUAAUGGCUUACCAAGGCGACGAUCCGUAGCCGGCCUGAGAGGGCGGUCGGCCACACUGACACUGACAUACGGGUCAGACUCCUACGGGAGGCAGCAGUGGGGAAUUUUGGACAAUGGGCGCAAGCCUGAUCCAGCCAUGCCGCGUGCGGGAAGAAGGCCUUCGGGUUGUAAACCGCUUUUGUCAGGGAAGAAACGCUCCGAAUUAAUACCUCGGAGUAAUGACGGUACCUGAAGAAUAAGCACCGGCUAACUACGUGCCAGCAGCCGCGGUAAUACGUAGGGUGCAAGCGUUAAUCGGAAUUACUGGGCGUAAAGCGUGCGCAGGCGGCUUUGCAAGACAGAUGUGAAAUCCCCGGGCUUAACCUGGGAACUGCAUUUGUGACUGCAUGGCUGGAGUGCGGCAGAGGGGGAUGGAAUUCCGCGUGUAGCAGUGAAAUGCGUAGAUAUGCGGAGGAACACCGAUGGCGAAGGCAAUCCCCUGGGCCUGCACUGACGCUCAUGCACGAAAGCGUGGGGAGCAAACAGGAUUAGAUACCCUGGUAGUCCACGCCCUAAACGAUGUCAACUGGUUGUUGGACGGCUUGCUGUUCAGUAACGAAGCUAACGCGUGAAUUUACCGCCUGG
rnacentral:rRNA from 1 species